GCUGGAUACGAUGGACGCUGGGUUCAAGGGACUUGCAAGCCGGUUCGCGCGCGACGCUGCGGGCAUCUAGAUUGCACUCCGAUUGGUUGUCCUUGACGUGGGCUGGAAAACAAAACUGGGGAAAACUCGCCUGUUGCGUUGCGAUUUCGUCAUGCAUUGAAAACUCGUUCUGUUCUGUGGCUUUAUCGAAGGCUCUACUUCACCUACCAAUGGCCAACCAAACAGGGCACCUGUGCGUGUAAUUGAUUCAAUUGUUUUAAGGGUGAACGGGAAUUCAUCAAGUGAAUAAGUGAAUUUACCAAUGUUACGACGGAUUCCGCUUAGGAACAAUCCGUGGAGUUGUUAGCGGUGCUUGCCGUGGAAGUGAAUCGUGUUUCAGUGGUUGCAGUGAUUCUUUAGCUUUGGCAAAGAUGGAGUUCGAUGCAAGGAAUAAUAAAACAAAGGAAGGCAGGCUUUCGGCAGUCUCAGACAGAUAUAGGAUAAAAUUCGCAGUUGAAUUUGCAAAAUGCCAAAGUAGAGGUUGUCCCCAAUAUUCUACUAAUAAGGUCGGGAUGGUGGUCGGUAGGCCAUCCACUUGGUUUUGCACAAUGGCUUCGACCUUUCAAUUGCGAGACACCCACGUGUUCCGUUUCUUACAAUCACUUUGCUCUGCCUCCUUAAUUCCUUGUGCUGAUUUUGAAUCUUGAAUUGCGUUGGAUCCUACUUGGAUGAAUAUUUAGUGAAAGUGUCUACGUUUUGCUUCUGGCAUCAGGACAAUCAACGUUUGGAGUAUGCUGCAGUCCACCUGCCUCGAAAGGAAUUAAGGUUAUUGUUUAAGAACGUAAUGUAAAAGGACGUCCAAGGUCAGUAAAACUUUCUAUUAUGGAAGAAAUUGGCAAAUAAGAAAAGGAAGCAAAGAUCAAACAAUAAGAAAAGAUAUUUAACACUACCUAAGAUACGUGCUUCCUGUUAACGAAAGUGAGAAAAAAUACGCCUGAGCAUGGCUUUUAAAGCAUAGACCGACGAUUAGCAUAAUAAAUCAAAUUUAGGCUUCAAUUAGUCAUAUUAGUUCUUAGUUUUAAGAAAUAUUCAUAACAAUAUGAUCCUAGUAAGAUAAGGUAUUAUCAAAAAUGUAAUAAGAUCGACGGAAUUAUCAUGAUCGUAAAGGAUGUCCACUCGUACAAAGUGAAUACUUAAAGUUACGCUAUUAGGAUAUAGACGGAAGAUUACUCUGCAAUACGAUAAAGUAUCUUUAUGAAAAAUCUUCAUUUGGUUGAUGCUUUAUAAAUUGAAUGAAAGAAAAGUAAUGGAUAUUAAUGACUCAAGUGUUCGCUGAGAAAAAUCA